rnacentral:rRNA from 1 species
AUACGGAGGGAGCGAGCGUUAAUCGGAAUUACUGGGCGUAAAGCGCGCGUAGGCGGCUUUGUAAGUCGGAUGUGAAAGCCCUGGGCUCAACCUGGGAAUGGCAUUCGAUACUGCAGAGCUAGAGUAUGGUAGAGGGAAGUGGAAUUUCCGGUGUAGCGGUGAAAUGCGUAGAUAUCAGGAGGAAUACCAGUGGCGAAGGCGGCUCUCUGGACUGAUACUGACACUGAGGUGCGAAAGCAUGGGGAGCGAACGGGAUUAGAAACCCCAGUAGUCC